rnacentral:rRNA from 1 species
AUUGAACGCUGGCGGCAGGCCUAACACAUGCAAGUCGAACGAGUGGCGGACGGGUGAGUAAUGUCUGGGAAACUGCCCGAUGGAGGGGGAUCACUACUGGAAACGGUAGCUAAUACCGCAUACCAUCGGAUGUGCCCAGAUGGGAUUAGCGAGGAGGUGGGGUAACGGCGAACCUAGUCGACGAUCCCUAGCGGGUCUGCGAGGAUGACCAGCCACACUGGAACUGAGACAAGGUCCAGACUCCUACGGGAGGCAGAAGUGGGGAAUAUUGCACAAUGGGCGCAAGCCUGAUGCAGCCAUGCCGCGUGUAUGAAGAAGGCCUUCGGGUUGUAAAGUACUUUCAGCGAGGAGGCGUUACUCGCAGAAGAAGCACCGGCUAACUCCGUGCCAGCAGCCGCGGUAAUUC